ensembl:lncRNA
AAUUAAUUCAUCAUUUUUCCUACUGUUUUUUAAAAUUUCUUUUUAUUUUUCAAACAUCUAGGGUUUUCUGUUUUUCAGGAGGGAAACAGAAGUAUAAGCCAGGGCCUCUUCGCAGAGAGUUCACAAUUCGGGUAGAGAAGCAGACAGACACCACUUAGAGAGGCAAAUACUUCCAGGAGAUAAACGUCCACAAACGGGUUCUGCAAAAUCAAGUUCUUAUACAAAUGUGUAACUAAAUGCUGACUCCACGGUGUCCCAGUGACAUCUGGAAGGGCUCUGAGCAAUUAAGCAAUUCCAUUACCGGAUAAAACUAGCAGUCCCUCUAGCCAAAGAUCCUUUCCAGGGGCAUCAAAAGAAGCUGUAGGGAGAGCAGAGGUAACUGUCACGUAACCUUUUAAUCGAAAUGUGACCAAAGUCUGAGAACGCCAUGGGGGAUCUUGAAUCUCAGUGAUCAGUGAAGGCUCUCUCUCUAUCCAUCAUGCCCACAGGCUUGACACACAUCCGCUCAGGAUGCUGCUCAGAGCAGGCGUGCAUGAGAAGUUAAUAAUUCUCCUUAUGUCUUGCUUCGUCUCCUUUGCCCUUUCCUCACAUAACUUCAGUCGCCCGUGUCCCAGGACACAGAUAACCAGCUGGAAUGUGUUAAACAGUGACAGCAAAGCAAAAUCAGAGUGAAAGGCAAAUGUUUAACCAAUCAUGUUCAAACACAACCUAGUGAAUGAAGAACCAGAGGUUCAGAGAGUCAAACAGUCUGCAUUCCCGAGAAAUCUCAACCAGUUUCUCAUUCUGGUAUUUCCACAUUGCGCUUUGCUGCCGCAAACUAAGCAGGUGUGCAUUCGGAGUGCUGGUCUAUUACUAAAAGAUCUGAAUUAGGAGGCUGAAAGAAAGCAUUUUGUAUCUAUGUGUUUUCUGAAACCGUCCAUGGGAGAGGAGCCAGACAUCAGUUACCCAUGGGGGAAAUGUUCCCACGGAGGUACCAUAAGGCUACCUGUCCACUUCAUUUCUCAUUCUCUAACAGAUUCUGUGGUGCCACCCCUUGUCCUGCUCAGUGGUAUUGCAACACCCUCGAGACGGCAGCUUGUCUUCUUGCCAAGCAUCGUCAAUCAAAUUUGAGGUCCUUCCAUCUCUCUGUACUGCAGUGUCCAUUCUCCUGCUGCUCUGAUCUUGUCAGAUGGGUAUCUGAGCUAGGCUCCACCCGCUUCCAACGGACCCUACCCUCAACAUCACGGGACCCGCACGCCUUUCUCUUCCUGGAUGUGGGUGAGCCAGUCUGCUGGUGAGGAGGGGAUAAACUUCUUAAAGAACUUUUAAAAUAAUAUAACCGCCUGACGUGUGGUUAGUUUGGGAUGUUUUAGUUAUGUUGGGGUCCCCUUCUUUAUGAAGGUUGUCUCAAUUAAGCGACGAAAAGCAGUAACUCUCCACUGGGCUCCAUCUUGUACAAAUGUUGCAAACUCAUGUUGCAGUUCACUGCGUUAAACCAAGACACUCCCCUGGGAGCCAAGGGGUCUGGGAGAGGGGUGACCUCUUCCAGAACAAUGGCACGUGGCAAGGAACUGACAGGAUGGAAGGGCACCCGCUCCUGCAGGUAGGAUAUCCCAGAGGGCCCAGGUUUGGCUCCAUCGUGUCUCAAGGAGGUCUUAGGAGCCAUGCUGAGCUCAUGGGGUGCUGUUUCCAGAGCCCAAAGCAUAACGGGCAGCUGAGUGGAGGGUCCCAUGGGUCCCAUGCUCAGGGCCUCGGAGAGCCUCUAUCAUCAGGAGAGACCAGUAUGUGGUGGUGACUGCAGCUCCAAUGGCACACAGUGGGGGGCUGGGGCAGGUUCUUGCAUCAGAAGCCUACGCGCAACUUAAGGCCAUCAAGGGUACCCCAGAAGACAUGACAGAAGGUCACUGAGGCUUCCGUAGGGAAGGAAUCUCCAAGGACACUAACAGGAGUGUUGGCUGUAGGACAAUUUGAAGACAGUCUCCAGCCUUCUGUGGUAGGGGUGCCCACUCAGGGUGGCAAAUUUGCACAUAACAGCAUAAAUGGGCUCAAGGAAAACCUGUAAACAAGAAAUAUAUUGCCUCCCAAACAUCAAGAGAACCUGCAGAAACGGGUGUGCUAUGAGGACAAUAGCUAUUUCUUCCCAUUAUCAGGGAGGAGCAGCCCCUGGCUUACCAAAUAGUUUUUAGGAAUUCAACCGAGGUGUCAAGGCCUCACGUUAUGUGUGGGGAAUGGCCCAUCUGCUUUUUGAGAGCUCCUCUCUUCAAUAUUUGUAUGUCCUGAAUGAAGGUCAACCGAACGUCCUUGGAGGAGGAUGUCGUUAGGGUCAUGUUACACUGUGCUCCUGGGGCAAGGUGGGUGCAGUUCAGACCCCGCCUGCAGUGGCUGUGAGAGGGCACAGCUGUGGAAGAUCCAUGAGGACAACCCAGUAAAGGGGCAUCAUGUCCCCUCAGAGGGGAAGGCCCAGUGCAGCUAAGAGGCUGUGGACACAGGCGCUGAACAGAACAGACUCAGCUGAGUCUGUGCGAGCAGAAUGUUUACCAGCUGCUGACUGGACGGAGUCAGUGCUUUCCAUACUGCUGGGAACUGGGUCUAUGGCUGUGUUUGGCGCGACCGCAGCCUCCAGGUUGCAGUGAUCCACUGUGAGUUGCCGUUCAUUCCUUCCAGAUUUAUGAACAGGCCAAAUCCGGCUGCGAAAAGGAGAAGCACAGAGAAUCAUCACUUCUCACUAACAGGGGUUGCACAAUGGUUUUCAGUCCUUCAAAGCCCUGUUUACACUGCGCCAUGUCAAGUCAUUUAACCGGAAGUUAAAGGUCUGUGGGGUCCCAUUUGGACAAGAUAAUCUGAAAGUCCCAAAGACGUGUCUUAAAUUUAAUUCAUGACUCAUUGGUUCAG